ensembl:lncRNA novel transcript
CAAGAUCACACCACUGCCCUCCAGCAUGGUCAACAGAACGAGACUGUCUUGAAAAAAAAAAAGAUAAAUUAUGGUAUUUGCUUUGGAAUUAAAUAAUUAGUAACUUUUAGUAAGGUUUGGUAAAGGUUUAGUAACCUUUAGUUAACCCAGUUAACUUCUGUGUCUUAUAUUUGUCUUUGUACUGAAGUAGUUGAAUGCCACUGACCCACAGAAUGAGUUGCCAGAGAACUGGAGCAACAUUCUGUUUGUGGGAAAGAGAAUACUCUGUUACUACCUUAAUAUUAGAUUCCCAGCAUAUCAAUUGAAGGGUUUUAAAUAGUGAGUGAUGUGUUUCAAUUUAUAUUUAUAUUAUAUUUACACUUGAUCUUAGCCAAAAGGCUGAGAAAGCGAUUUUAUAUUAUAUUUAUAAAGAUCACUUUAGCUUUCUCCUGGAGACUGGAUUGGUAGGGACAAGGUGACAUUGGUGAACUUGGUUAGAAAGUCAGUCAAGCCCGUGUGAGCUACUGAGCCCAGCAUAAGUCAUAUUUAAAACAAUGGGAAUGGGUAGGAACACCUAGAGAUAGAGUGUGGGAAAUAGAAUAGGGUCCAGUAUACAGCUGUGCCAAAUUUCACAUGUACAGGUUAGAUAGUGGAGUGGGUCAGUUCUGUUGGGAAUGCCCUGAAAGUUUGAAUAAUGAUAAGCACGUCC